CUUCUAGUCAUUUAAUUAUUGCUUGACCAGAACUGUGCCUUGUAAGGAAAGGAGGUGUGUACAAUAAGCCCCGCUGGACUGUUAGUUCUUUGAGUGCAAGGAAUGCUUGCUGUUUGGAAACUUGUGAAGACCUGCAUCCCUUUGUAUCUCAAAUAAAGACAGAGGUGUUUCCAGACCUAAGAAUAACAGGAACAUGGAGGAGUGGCAUCUCCAGU
rnacentral:lncRNA from 10 species